AUAGAGUGUUGAUACGGAAGGUUGCUGAGAGCCGAAUUGAGCGGCUUGAUGGUUUUUCCGAGGAGCGAUGUCCAGUUCAAGAAACCGGGCGACAA
rfam:Firmicutes bacterium CAG:466 genomic scaffold, scf57